UGGGGAAUAUUGCGCAAUGGGGGAAACCCUGACGCAGCAACGCCGCGUGAGUGAUGAAGGCUUUCGAGUCGUAAAACUCUGUCUUCGGGGACGAUAAUGACGGUACCCGAGGAGGAAGCCCCGGCUAACUACGUGCCAGCAGCCGCGGUAAUACGUAGGGGGCAAGCGUUGUCCGGAAUCACUGGGCGUAAAGGGCGCGUAGGCGGUUUGUUAAGUCAGGUGUGAAAGUUUUCAGCUUAACUGGAAAAGUGCACUUGAAACUAACUUACUUGAGUACUGGAGAGGUAAGCGGAAUUCCUAUUGUAGCGGUGAAAUGCGUAGAUAUUAGGAAGAACACCGGUGGCGAAGGCGGCUUACUGGACAGAGACUGACGCUGAGGCGCGAAAGCGUGGGGAGCGAACAG
rnacentral:rRNA from 1 species